rnacentral:rRNA from 1 species
CCUACGGGAGGCAGCAGUGAGGAAUAUUGGUCAAUGGACGAGAGUCUGAACCAGCCAAGUAGCGUGAAGGAUGACUGCCCUAUGGGUUGUAAACUUCUUUUAUAUGGGAAUAAAAUGCUCUACGUGUGGGAUUUUGUAUGUACCAUAUGAAUACGGAUCGGCUAACUCCGUGCCAGCAGCCGCGGUAAUCCGGAGGAUCCGAGCGUUAUCCGGAUUUAUGGGGUUUAAAGGGAGCGUAGGUGGAUUGUUAAGUCAGUUGUGAAAGUUUGCGGCUCAACCGUAUAAUUGCAGUUGAAACUGGCAGUCUUGAGUACAGUAGAGGUAGGCGGAAUUCGUGGUGUAGCGGUGAAAUGCUUAGAUAUCACGAGGAACACCGAUGGCGAAGGCAGCUUACUGGACUGCAACUGACACUGAGGCUCGAAAGUGUGGGUAUCAAACAGGAUUAGAUACCCCAGUAGUC